rnacentral:tRNA from 1 species
AGUGGAUGGGAUCUGGUGGUCCCCUUGGUCUUCAAAACCAAUGUGAGCCGUGAAGGCUCUGGUAGGUUCGAUUCCUGCUCCU